rnacentral:rRNA from 1 species
GACGAACGCUGGCGGCGUGCUUAACACAUGCCAGUCGAACGGAAAGGCCCUGCUUUUGUGGGGUGCUCGAGUGGCGAACGGGUGAGUAACACGUGAGUAACCUGCCCUUGACUUUGGGAUAACUUCAGGAAACUGGGGCUAAUACCGGAUAGGAGCUCCUGCUGCAUGGUGGGGGUUGGAAAGUUUCGGCGGUUGGGGAUGGACUCGCGGCUUAUCAGCUUGUUGGUGGGGUAGUGGCUUACCAAGGCUUUGACGGGUAGCCGGCCUGGGAGGGUGACCGGGCACAAUGGGACUGCGAUACGGACCAGACUGCUACGGGAGGCAGCAGUGGGGAAUAUUGCACAAUGGGCGGAAGCCUGAUGCGGCAACGCCGGGUGCGGGAUGACGGCCUUCGGGUUGUGAACCGCUGUCGCCUGUGACGAAGCGUGAGUGACGGUAAUGGGUAAAGAAGCAACGGCUAACUACGUG